rnacentral:rRNA from 1 species
AACGUAGGAGACAAACGUUAUCCGGAGUUACUGGGCGUAAAGGGCGUGUAGGUGGUUUUGUAAGUCUGGCGUGAAAUUUUUCGGCUUAACCGGGAAAGGUCGUCGGAUACUGCAAGGCUAGAGGACGGUAGAGGCGUGUGGAAUUCCGGGUGUAGUGGUGAAAUGCGUAGAGAUCCGGAGGAACACCAGUGGCGAAGGCGACACGCUGGGCCGUACCUGACACUGAUGCGCGAAAGCAUGGGGAGCAAACAGG